GUUUUUGCGCCUCGAUGAGGUGGUUUCUCAGCUGUAUCGAUGUGUUUCUCAAAACUCUAAUGGAAACUUUUUUCACGUCAGACGAGUCACGUGAUCAACAGUCGGCCGUUAAUACAUCGCAAAUAACAACGAAAACGACAGGAAGUUCUGCUUUCCGUCCUCAUCCAGCCAGUUGACCCUGAACACGUUGGAGUACGGCUUGCAGCUGCCCGCGUCGUAGUAGGUGAAGAGGAUGCAGACACACGUACGAACCCGCGUCUUCCAUGGUGAGGUCGCUGAGGACGAGGGAGCAGUUGGACGCAACGGCGGUUCUGUUGGAUUUGUCCGAG